rnacentral:rRNA from 1 species
GCCGUGUCCGGUAAGGAACCGGUUGGCGCCAGGCCGGCUCCCCCUCCCCACCGCCUCUGCGCCGGCUACAAAAGGCGCCCAGGUGCGCCCCGCCCACCCCGUGCUCCGGCCUCCUCCCUCCCCCCCUCUCUCUCUCUCUCUCUGGAGCUUUCGUUCUCCGCCCAAGCCGCCGCCUCGCGUCUCCGCGACGGUUUCCUUCCCCUGUGUCCAUCAUCAACUCUCGAUUCCGUCUCGAAUCGCGUUUGAUCUUGCUAUAUCCUCGCCGCCUCUGCUUCUGUGCUCGCAGGUGGUUCGGCCCGUCUCGUCCGCCUCCGGGGGAGCGAUCGAUCGGGAUCAGGAUCCCGCCGAGCUGUUCGGUUUUGCUUCCGCGUCUGGUUUCGGGCGAUCCUCCGUUGGCCGAGAUUGGUCCUCGGUUCUGCGUCCGUCGGUGAUUUCAGAUUUCAAUUUAAUUGAACGUCUAUCGCCCGUACGGCUCUAUGUUCCCCGAUCACGUCACCAGUUCCGUCGUCAUCACUUAAUACGAGGUGGAUUCCAGGCCCUCCCUCGUGGAUUCUUGUUGUACCGCUGAUCUAGCUUUUGGUGUAUGCGCUCUCAUCCUAGAUGCGCGAGCGCUAGUUCUGGAGAAAUGGUAUUGGAUAUAGAUGAAGGGUCAAGGUUUGAUUUCUGUUCAUGGUUAUUUUGAUUGAUUGGUUAUACAGUCCAACGGUUAUUCUAAUAAUAUGGUCAAAUCUUCUGGGAUGAUCAAGCUUUCGACCUCUUACCAACCUAGGCUGCAAUACACGAUCUGCGUGUGGAUAAUCCUAAUUUAGUUUCUUGGUUCAAUUUAGCCUGCUGCAGUACAAUUCUGAUUUGGGUGUUUUGCUGGUUAUCCAGAAACUGCGAGCCACUCAUCUUCUGGCACACCUGCGUUUGGAUGAUAGCACUCUCUGUUUAAUUUGUUCUUCUCCACAAUUCAAUUAGCCCCCCAACAACUCUGAUUUUGAUUUGUUGCUGGCUCCCCAGACUGGAAUUACAUGUCCUCUUUUGGCUCUAUCGGCAUGGCAUUCCUUCUUAUGGGCCUCAACUUUCUGGACCUUUCUUAUCGAAACAAUUCUGACUCAGCAGACAUUAGUUUCCCGUGCGUUACUCAUUCUCAGCUCUUGCAGAUAGUGUCUUGCAAUGGAUAUAAUUGGAACGUGUGGUGUCUACCUGACCAUCCCAGUCGAGACUCAGAGACAGGCUUACUUUAUUUUCAACUCCUCACCGUUUAAUCUAGUUUCCUCCCUAACUGAAACAUUUAUAGAAAGGUAUCUUGCUCGUUGCAGGUCAUAGUUCACCAACACAAGGCCACCAACCUGAUGCUAAGUCUGCAGUUCUUCUAUCUACUCAGCUCCUUAACUUAGAUAACAAUACUAAGAUUUCUUGUUAGGCAAUAUUUCAGAUUCAGAUUUAGCUGCAAAGGUGCAAAAAUGAAGCUUAAAACUAGUGGCAUAUCCUAACUUAAAUCUCUUAUCCUCUUAUUUUUAUUUAAUUCAGCUACAUGUUCAUGUCUUUGAUUUAGGCUUUUUGCUUCUGUCCUCCAUGUCGUUGCAGAUUUGUUUUGGCCUAAGACAAUGCUGGUAGUGAGCCUGAAUAUGUUAAAAUCGUCUUGUUUGCCAUUUACUAUCUCUUUGUGGUUUUAUUAUUGGUUAUCUGUACUCUUGAUCCCUGCGUUAGUCUUCCUGCCCAUUGCUAUCUGAUAUAUUUAUAGGAAGUCUGGGCCUACAUGCAAACCUGUUGUUUGUGUGUUGGCUUCCAUGGGUUGGUUGCAGGACUGGAUCUAGUAUGUGGAGAUCCCUGGGGUGUUGUAUGUCACUGUCGCUCGUGUGGUCUUCUCGUUCUUAUCACGAGUUCCGUCAUCAUCAGCUAAUAUGAGGUGGAUUUGAGGUCCUAGUGGAUUCUUAUUGUAGCAGCUGAUCUCGCUUUUGGUGUGUGUUUGUGCUCCUUUAGCUGCAGCAGAAGCAAGAGGGUAGUGGUUCCGCAGAGAUGAGUCAAAGAGUGGAUGUUUGGUUUCUUAUACAAAUGGUUAGAUCUUUCCGGAGGACGAUGUUUUGGUGUGAUCAGUGUUUGGAUGAUCUCAAAUUCUCGAUCACUCUGACUUUUAACUUACUCAUAUUUUACGAAGUACAAUAAUUUACUCUCCAGAGGUUCUGAUUUGGAUUACUAUUGGUGAUCUACAGAAAUUUGGAUUUGGCUUAGCGACUGGGGGUGACUUGCUGAUCUGCUUUGGAUGAAUCAUUACUUCCUCCAUUUCAUUUAUUUCUCUCCAUAGCUCACCUUCAGUGUACGACAGUCCUGAUUUGCAUUUGUUGGUGGUUCUUCAGAAAUUGAGGUUAUACGGCUUAGCGGGAGCACCUAUCGUCUUGGUGAUCUACAGUGGAUGAUCAUUACCUACUCAGUUUAAUUCUUCUUCUCCAGAGUUCAAUUAGUCUCCCAACAAUUCUGACUGUGAUCUGUUGAUGGUUGUCCAGAAAUUGGAAUUACACGGCCUAGCGGGCGGUCCUAUUUUGCCUCAGCGUGGCGGUUCCUUCUUUUUCAACCUUAUUGAACUCUCAUGACAUUAGGUUUUCUCUGCCUUAGUUGGUAAUUCUCAGCUCUUGCAGAUACUGACAUAGGAUAUAUAACUGCAGUUUGGGACUGGUGGUGUUGUCGUCCGUCAACCAUAGCUGAACUUCCUAUCCGAGCCAGGCUUACUUGUUGCCGCCCAUCGUUUGGUCCAAGCUUUAGCUAUUUAAGUAACAUUUUCCCCUAACUGAAAAUUUAUAGAAAGGUCUCUUGCUCGUUGCAGGUUGUAGUUGACGAAACUCGAGCCCAACCUGAUGAUGAAUCUGUUUGCAGACCUUUUAAAUCUACUAGUAUAGCUUCAAUUCAGUGCAACUCACAUAACCUACAAAUUAUCUUACCUAGGCAAUAUUUUAUAAUACAGAUUCAUAUGCCAAGGUGCAUGAACCUAAGGAUAAUCCGAAGCUUUCUACUAAUGGCACAUCCUACAACCGGAAAAGACUCUUGCCGUCCUUUUUUUAAUUUCAUUUAGCUACUUGGCCUUGUCUUUGAUAUAGGUUUUUGCUCCUGCCCUUCCUGUGGUUGCAGAUUUUUUUUAGCCCAGAGCCCCAGACCAUGUGGGUAAUGACGCGGAGUCUGUUCUAAUAUUUUGGUUUGCGAUCUAGCUCUCCGUUGUUCGAUUUGACACCUUUAACUCUUGAUCUCUGUGUUCUAUUGGUCUUCUGCAAGUGUGGGUUGCAGGAUAUGAUAGUUAGGAGUUCGUGCCCAAAUCUUUGCUCUGUCAGGUCAGUGUCUUGUAUAUGGUCUGUUUGUUUCAUUUGUUAGCGCCACCUCCUGAGUUGGCUUGCAGGACUGGAUCUGGAUCUGGUCUGGACAUGAAGCUCCCUAUGGUGUAUAAGAAUAUGGUGAAGGGGACUUGAGGCAGGUUAGUUUCCCACGUUUGGUCACAUUGGUUUACUGGAUCCCUCAUCUGUGCUCGGUGACGAAAGAUUUAAGUGGCUAUACCUUGAGUUCCUCGAUUUGUCUUUGUCUGAUGGCUCAUCAGUACGGCUGUCCCUCAAUAUGUGGUGAACUGGUUCUCGUUUUAACAGCUGAUCUCGCUUGUGGUAUGUGUUUGUGCUCCUUGAGAUGCAGGAUGUUGUUGGGUGAUGAAUCAAAGGAUUGAGGUUUGCUUCAUGGUUAUUUUGAUUGGUUAUGGCAAAUGGAUGGUUAUAAGCUGUUAUCUUGUGUGCUGAAGUUUUCGUUUUGGAUUAAAGCUGUGGAUUGGAUUAACCAUGGGAUGGGGAUCAGAGAAUUCGUGAAGAGUGUGUUUGGAUAAUCGAUCCUCCUCCAGUUAGUUUCUUUGUUUGCACAGUCAAAUUUAGCUAAUGGACUGUUGUUGGUUCUCCAGCUAUUGGACUUGUAUGGGGACUUUCCGGAAGGUGCCCUGUGUUUGUUUCACCAUGUUACAGGCGGUUUCUUCUGUUGACUUCAAUCUUUCCUGAUUUUCUUUGAAUAUUGGACUUUCUAUGGUUUUCUCUGCCCUUGGUAACUACGUGUCCUUGCAGAUAUUGACAUGGAUGAGAGAUAAUAUAGUUUGCUAUCUGGAACUGGUGUUGAUUAACUGAUCUCUCCCAGCCAAGCAGGCUUAUCCUAUCCCCUCACUGUUUUGAUGCUUUAUUUAGCUGUUUAUAAGCAGCUUCAUCUCCCAAAAGCAAAAAUCAUGAGAAGGUCUCUUGGUCGUUGCAGGUCCUAAUUGACUAUUUUGGUCCAACCGAUGCGGAUUUAUCUGUUUGAAGAUCUUCUAAACCCUACACCUUUCCAAUUCAUUGCAAUUUGUUCAACAUAUAAAUUAUCUUAUGGAGACAAUUUGAACAUUCAGAUUGAUUUGUUGGAUAGAUUCGAAGGUUUCUCUGGGGCUUCAGUCUAGAUGGGACAUCCUACAUCCGAAAAAACUCGGUGCUCUCCACAACCGAAAAUUAUCUUAUGCUGAGUUAUCUCAUGAAGAAACUACUGUUGUCUUGGUUGCCUUUUGCUUGUAGCAUUGAUCAAGCCAUGCUGGUAGCCAUUCAAAAUAUGUUACCUUUUUGGUUUCUGAUCCUCUAUGUGGUUUACUUUGUUAUCUGUACUACCCAUCCAUGUGUUUCUGUUGGUUUGUUGGCCUGGCCUGGUAUGCGCAUUUGUUCCUUUAGAUAAAAAAGACGGUGGAGAUCAUACUGAAGGGUAGAGGUUUGGGUGAUUCAUGGAUGUUCUUUAGCUGUUUGGAUGAUAUCUUAAGUUUGGGAUUGGAAUUGUUGGUCAUGCCUGCAUGGUUGAGGAUUCAUAAGCGUCUUGAGGCGUGACUGGACUGUUUAGAUAUAUUCUCCUCUUUGAUUUCUCCAUGUGAGCAGUUUGGUUUCUGUUCUGAGUAUUAUUUGGAUUUUUUGGUUGUUCUCCAGCAUUUGAGCAUAGGCUUGCCCGGACUACUUUUUGGCUCAAUAAUUGGAAUGGUGCAGAGCUCUAGGAGAUUCUUCGUGAUUCGAUCUUGUCAAACUUCUCUAUGUUAAUAACUUCUAACAUUCCAAACAUUGAUCUUUCUUGUCAGUAACUCUUAGUUCUAUGCAGAUAUGACAUACAAUGAGGAUAAUUCAAACCAAUGUGCAUAACUUCACUAAACCAGGCUUAUCCCCAUCUCCCUUGCUAUAUUUGUUCACACGUUUUCGAUGUUGAACAGCUUUCUCCAAAAUGGUUAGGCAUCAUGGUCUUUUGUUCAUUGCAGGUGUACUUGACAAUUUUACAGAAGUCUGAUGUCAUGCUGCGUGAAAAUUUGUUUGGAGACCCUCUGACUUCACAUUUUUUAUUUAGUUAGCUAGAAAACCAAUUAGUUGUUAAGUUUGAGUAUUCAAACUGAUCCGCAGAGGUGAAGAGUUCUAAAAGCUUGUUUGGCAACUUCGUUCUGGAUAGAGGAGUCUUCUACAACCACAAACUUAUACCUAUGCUGCAUCCUUGUUUCGACUCAUUGUCCAGUUCUAAUUAUGGUCUGACUUUCCUUGAAGAAACUUCUAAGUAUGCCGAUUAUAUUUGGGCUGUUCAUUGAUCGGCACUUUGGAGGUUUUAUUGGAAGAUUGUAGAAUUGGAAAGUCUAGCAAAACGUCAGUUGGUGUGAGGACUCGGUGAAGCCCGGGAGGUUUUGACUAAUGAUUAAUCCUGAUCCUGAAGCAUAUUACUCCCUCCGUCCGGAAACACUUGUCCUAGAAAUGGUUGUAUCUAGACUUAUUUUAGUUAUAGAUACAUCCAUUUUCAACCAUUUCUAAGACAAGUAUUUCCGGACGGAGGGAGUACUUGAUUUGGUAUUUGUGGCAGCUUCUUUCAGUGGUAGUUUGGAGUUAGUAGUGUGCACAUCUGAUUCUUCCAACCGUCCUGAAGCAUCUUAUUACUUGGUUUCUGUUGUGCCAUCCUACUGAUUAUGACAUCUGCUUCAGAUUGCAUGUGGUUUGGACGGAAUAUGAUCUCAGCUUUUGCUUCGAAUCAACAAAAUGCUAGAAGUAACGUUGUCCUAACUGGAAGUUCCUUUAGUCUCAAACAAGGGUUCAACAAUGGAAAUAUCAGUUCAUACUCAAAGUUUGUAUAGCAGAUUAUCAAAUUUUGAUUUGGCUAUAGAUUAAUUGGUUGACAUACUGUUUACGGAAGUUGGGGUUUUAAUAUUAGGCUGAUUGUAUCUAUAAUUUUAUCUCUAGCAGUACAUGAGCUCUGAAUGCAGUAAAAUUCUACAUUUUCUUGUCCACACUUGGUUUUCGUUUAACUAUUUUCCUGGUGAGUUCUUUAGGAUCAUCUUAUGACACACAAUCAAUUCUUUAUGUGCACAGAUUUUUAACUUCAGUGAUAAAAGAAAGAUCCCAUCUAGUUGUUUGCUGGCUCUCACUUGACUUGUAAUUGGGUAAUGUUGAUGUCUUGAUAUGAAAGAGGCUAAGGAAUUAUUGCCAUAUACUAAAAAAUAUGGAGAGUUGAAGCUUCUGAACUGAAAGCUAACUAAUAGUUUUCCCUGAACACUCUACUCUUGAUGUCUUAGAUUACUUAUAUGAUUCCGGUUUGGUGGUAUGGAAUUGAUUUUCAGAAAAUGAUGUUCUUCUCAUUGGUGCUUCUCCAGUGGGAUAUCUUCAAUUCAAUGCAUCUUCUCGGUUUGCUGGAGAACUCCUAGUUUUAAUUUGACAACUAGCAAAACAGUCUGGCUGAUUCCUGCUGAUUGUGUACUUUUAACUCAAGUACUAGCUCGUAUUCCUGGAUUGAAGACAAAAAGCGUUCACAACAUAAUUUGAUCUGGUUUAUGGGAUCUUCAACCACAUAUUCUCAAAUCUUUAAUUACAUAAUCUCGGUUUUCUGGGAACUCCGUAAUUUCAAUUUCCUUGGCAACUAGCAAAAUUACUAAUUAGAAGAUUCAUGCCAAUUGCAUACUCUUGACUAGGGAUGCAGUGCGGCGUCCCGCAUAAGCCCGCAAAAGGUGGAAUUAGUUCAAUACUAAGCCAAAUCGCUACAGAAACUUAGAACUAACCUGAUCUGUUUAUACUACGCACAUUAUGCAUAGUCCAUGCAUCCUGGAUUUUGAAGACACAAAAGUAUCUCCUCUGACCCUAUAAUAAUGGGAUAAAACUGUGAAUUCUUAUUUUCAAGAUUGAAGGUUUGAAUCACCUCACCCCACUAUAGAAAUUAGUCACUCUCAUUCAGGUUCUGGAAUUUAUAGCUUUCUUUGUUUGCGACACUAUGUCUGUCUUUUGAUAUUGUGCAAUUGUCGUGCAAUUUUUUUCUUUUUCCUUUGGUUGAUGGUGUGGCUUGUAUGCUUAGCUGAAAUAAUUGGUUGUAGUGUUUGCUAGUUUUUGUGUUUAGUAGUUUUGUAGUUUAACACUGCCUUUGCCGGUCCAAGCCCGGAUGAGAAAAUGUGGAGGGAACUGCAUCAUUUGCAUUAGAACUGCAUCCGAAUAUUUGAUAUUGAUUAACAGUGAAUGAAGUGAGUAUAAGCUACAGUCCUUACUGGCCUGAUCGUAUAGUGUGGUACGUAGCAUAUGAUUCAAGCUUUGAAAUGCAUCCUUUCUGUGGUCGGUGUUAGAAGUGACUGUCUCGCUGAUUCCUUUCUGAAGCUGUACUAGGUCGGUGUUUUUCUUACGAUCCCAAAAGGAAAGUGAGUGUAUAGAUUUGCAUGAAGCGCCUCGUGUACAACAACUAUCCAGAAAUAUGUAGUUCAGCUGUUUUGGGUAACUAACUUCCCUAGAGAAUGCUAUGGUAACCUGCAGUUUGCUGGACGAGAGAUACGUAGUAGGGUAAUGGAUAAGCUUGACCUGCAGUGUAGCAGAUGCAAGCAAAUGGGGAUGGUUCAUGAGUUCACUGGUAAUUUCAGUUGUACUCCCUCCGUUCCUAAAUACUUGUCUUUCUAGGCAUUUCAAAUGACUAUCACAUACGGAUGUAUGUAGACAUAUUUUAGAGUGUAGAUUCACUCAUUUUACUCCGUAUGUAGUCAUUUGUUGAAAUGCCUGGAAAGACAAGUAUUUAGGAACGGAGGGAGUAGUAUACUACUAGGGUGUUGCUGUAGACAUGUCUAGUGUUUUAAGUUCAUGUUGAAAUAUCCAAAACAUCUUUAUCAUAAUAGCGAACGAAGGGAGUACAUUGCUACUUUACUAGCUGUCCAGUCCUUUGGCUUGAGUUGAUCGAUGUGGUUCUCGUUCUCAUGUUCCAAGGAAGUCAGAGAUGCAGAUAUAUGGUGGUUCAUUUUCAGGGUAGGAAUUCAGGUCCGACGAAACUGAAGCUUCAACCACUGCAAGCCUCAACAGGCGACGGCUAUCCUACGGUCAGGUGAAAAACCCUCUACAGACAAGCUGCAUCCCUUCACCGCUCCUGUGUACUAGACGUUUAUGCCUCUGUUCAUUUUAUUUAGGCACGCCGACAGUAAGUUUCGCGCACUAGAUGCUACCACAGUGCAGCUGUAUAUUUCUUCAGCACAGAUGCUUCUUUUAAUCUUUGCUGCUAGUAAUAUACUGUAUAUUGUUGAACAAACAUUGGCCUGCUUGUCGAGUGGGUAUUGCUUGUCCACUACUCUAAGCAAGCAUGCUGGGCGCUGCUGAGUGGCAAUGUCAUGCGACUCUGGACUAUUUAGCAUAAGCAGCCCUUUGGUGGAUGCUGCUUGAUUGAAUGGUUUUCCAU